AAUUUAAAAUGAACAAAGGAGAAAAGAUUACAGUAUAUGGGAAAUCUCAUGAUGAAGGUGGGAAUCAGCUGAUCACAGUUGGUCUGAGGCUGACUGACUGGCCCACACAAUCAGCUCCUUUAUCAAGUACAUUUAAUUACAUAAACAGCAGUUGUAGAAUACAGAUGCAGAGGCAACCCCUUGAACCUAACUUAUGUGGACAAGUGAUUAUGGAAUUCAUAAUACUAACAAGUGACUCAUUUUCAGACUGCCUACAAAACAUGAGCCGAUUCCCAGUUCAGUAAUCAAUGGAUAUUGUUUGAAAUUCUUUCUCGGCGUUAUAAAUAUAAAGCCUUCAUUGAAAUUAAACACUUGCCAGAUAAAUCCUUUAUUGCGAAUCCUACUGAGAUUCGAUUGACUUUUUGCCCUUUGAACUACAGGUUCCUGCUGAGCUCUCUGCCAGGGGAUGUGGCUGCCUGCUGCACUGUCAGAAACGUGUUCGCCACCCCCCUGCUGCUCAUUUCCCAGGAGCUCACUUGCUCGCGGCUCCGUCAUGCGAUCAGUUACCAGCCUGAUUUAUGUGAGAGGCAGUCCUGGCGCUCCACUGAGGAGGAUGACUCAGUGUGUUUGUAAGGCGAUUUAAACACACACCAGAUAGGGACACACUGGAAGCUCUUUCAUUCCCUCCAGCAUAGCAGGAUGCUUUUUUAGCACAGAAUAGAUUGGGAAACUGCUUAAAACACCAAUAACGUGAUUCAUAAAUGUGUUAAUACUUUAUGGGUACAUCAUAAACCUAAUUCUGGGUAAUGUACCAUGAUUCAAAACACUCCUAAACUUUUGUUGUGAUAUUUAAUGACGUGGAAUUCAGUGUGUUAUACUAAUAUAUGAGGACUGAAUACUGCUACUGCAAUCAUGUGGACAGUGUUUACUCUGCAUUGCCCUCUCGACCUGCUCCUGGGCCAGACCUCACCCACCAUCUAUAAGACUCAGAAGAGUAAGGUCUCAGGUACCAGGUCUGCGGAGCUGGUGAAGAGUGGGAUCAGAUAAGAUCUUCUGUAUUAUUAACCACUGAAGAAUUUGUUUGAGGAAGAGUGGCGUUAUGACAAUGUUUUAUUUGGGUUUUCACUCUGAAAUAUUGGGCGCAAUGUUUAAUACUAUGCAGGGGUGGUAUGUACUAUUUACAUUUUUAUUGUAUUUUCUAAAGGGAGGAAUUCGUAGAUAGUGUUUGGGAGGGUUUAUGAUUUUUCUUUUUUUUUGGUGGGGUUUUGGAUAACUUUUGGUGGUUGUUUCUUCUUCAGUUGGCUUAAGGAAGUAUAGUAAAAGUCAGAAGUCACCUCCACCCAUGGUGGCUGGUAUCAUUUUUUGCGCCAAUGAUGCUGAGCUCUUGGCUUCCUUCUCUCCUCUGAUGUCUCUUCCUAUGCUGCUGAGAGUCAGAGUCAUCUCCUCCCAGAUGUGCUCCUGUCAUCUUAAGAGCAGCCUCUCUGAACCUCGCUCUUCCUCCUGAGAACCCCUCUAACUCUAAUCCUCUGGGCUCCACCACCCUCUUCCCCUUCUUGUCUACAAAUAUCGCUGGUGUCACUCGACCUCUCCUUGCACACUUCUCCUCUGGCAAUGUCCUGCCUCUUCCUCUUGAGCAACAGUCACAGAACCCACCCCUUCCUUACCAACUGUUCUGCACAGCUCCCAUUCCAAGCCCUGGUGCUCUCCCUCCCAAACUACUGUGUCUCUUGGCUGGCUUCCCUGCCAGUGCUUUCCACCCAGUCCAACUCCAUCCAGAUCUCUGCCUUUUCUCUUCAUUACUUUUCACAUGCUACUCCAUUACUCCAAUUCCUUAUCUCUCCCUGCACUCCCUCCGGCCUGCUCCUCUCCUCCUCUCCUGCCAGACUAUCUGUCCUCCCCCUCAACUCCCCCACUUGCAGAGACCCCUUUCCUUCUCCGCCUUCUCCCCUCCGUGCUGGAAUGAACGUCCCCCAGGAAUCAGGAGAGCUCAGUCCCCGACCACUUUUCGGCGCCUGCUCAAAACCCAUCUGUUCAGGCAGCACCUGUGAUCUCUCAGCUCUCAAGUAGACCUUUCAGUAAGUCUUCCACUUUUACAUUAAAUACAUUUAAUUCUCAAUUGGUAAUGAAAUUCACUGGUUGCACUUAUGCACUGGAAAUAUGGGUGUCUGCUUUGCUGCUUUUCAUCCACACAACCUGUAAAUACUUGUAAUUAUUAUGGUGCUUGCAGCUAUUGUAUUUUUAUAGUAUUUGCUCAUAUUUGUAAUCCUAUCUAUUGUUUUGCUCUGUACCUGAAUGCAACGCUAAAUUUCAUAAACACUGCAAGCUGCCAUGGAUAAUGCAUGUCAUCAUCAUCAUCAUCGUUAUAUAGUCCUCAUUAAUAACUACAGGCAGCAACAAUAGUGUCUAAAGAGCAGAGCUUGUAGAACACUACAUCAAAAAUUGACUGGAAACACUGUCGUCUUCUUGUUUGUUCCAAACUGGUGUUGGGGUUUAGCAUCAUAUAAAUAUCCACGAGAAUUCAUGUUGGAAAAAAGUAAAUUCUCCCUGCCUGAGGAGUAACCCCUCAAAUAAAAUCUUUAAGUGUAUUACAAUGAUGACUUUAGCACAUGGCAAUGCUAUGGCAGGAAGUACUAUGUGCCCUUUCUCACCAUUUUUUUUUUAUUUUCCCAGGAAGAGAGGAAGAGGACAUUGAAUCAGUAUCCCUGUAAAUCGCACCAUCACAGGUUCUGCUCCUGGCUCAAAGUCAUCAGAGAUUCUUAACAGGUCUGGGGAAAGACACAUUCUGGGGUCUGACACGAACACUUCAACCACAGAGCAGAGUCUGCACACAGGAGCCACCGCGGAACAACUCCCAGGGUGAGGAAAAGGUAUGGUGAAUAAUUCUGAAUUUACAUUACGAAUAUGAAAAUAUCACAGCCUGAGAGUUGUUGACAUAUUAAUGUUCAUGAACAUCACAAGAUGAUAAAUUAAUUUGCUUGCCCAAGCUGUACAGACAUAUCUAUAGAUCUCGAAGAUUGCUAUUGCCAGAAAAGCUUGCGGGUGGCUUGAUGAGAAAAAAAAAAAUCUAAAAACAAAUAAACAGCUGGAAUUUAUACUUCAAUUGAGGAUUUAUAAAACUUGCAGGGAUCUUCGGAUUAAUGGUAAGGAGGUAUCCGACUGUUUUGAAUAAUCAUAUUAGGUUUUCACAACUGCAGAAACAUUAAUUUAGAAGAUAGUAUGGUUUCUGCAACUUAAGGAUAUGUAUACAAGGAAUUUCAUAGAAUCGGUGUGUAAAAGUUAAUUGGAAUUCAUCUGUAAAUAACAGGAGAGAUAAAAUCUGGCUGAUAAGGAUGCAGGAUAAGGAACCACUCAGAAUUAGAAAAGGACAUUAAGGGAAAAUAAUACUGGCUUAAAUCUCUGCCCCAGCUUUUCACGGUCGGUGUGAAAGGAACUCUACAGUACCUCUUACAAAGUUUUCCCCUCUUCAUCUGAGUCACCCAUGCCUGGUUACUGGCCACAGUUGUUCCUUCCACCAGUAAGAGGUGUCAAACACUGAAACAUUCACAGGCCGCCGUGACUCACGAUGAGGAGUAGGCCGGUCUUUAGAAAAAAACCUCGGUUUCCUCAGGCAGUGUCCAUAUCCUAGAGUCGCUGUACACUCAUUGUUUCCUUCAGAAGUGCUGAGACGGUUCCAGAUGUAACUUCUUUCUCCAAGUCAUGUCCGCUUGGCCCAGAGUGAAAGUGCACUUACAGUGCACUUCACAGGACAGGGUGGUUUUGUACACCCACUUGUUUUUGAGUAACAGGGAAAUUACUUUUGCAGGAACAUCUUAAGGAUAUACAGUAUGUGAUUUUCUCCUUUUCUGCCAGAAGAAUGGUUGUGAUGAGUUAUUUGUCAGAGCUCUUAGCAUGUUGCAGCAUUAGGUACUGUUCUUUGUCAUCCCCAUGUCAUGCCAAAUUAUUCAUCCCUUUGCACAGCCCUUUGUGGUUCCCAUGGCUAAAAAAUAAGUCAAAGCCCAUCAUGCCUGUCCAAGACAGUGCUGGCCGAUGUCACAUCUGCUUCCCAUAUCACACAAAGUCAAAAAGCAUUUGGACAUUAUCUUCCCCAAUUCAAGCACACAGUAAAAUGAUUUAAAGGUAACUUUCAAUGUCCCUGCCUUGCUGCUCACUGGAUGACAAGUAAUAAUUAACAGGGAUUCGCAACAAGCGGACAUGUGAUGUGUCGUGAAUAUGCUGUGAGUAUUCUCAGAUUUGAUGUGAUCUCUAUGUGAUGGGAGCUCUCCUGCAUGGACCAUCACAUUGCUUGAUUUCUUCCUCAUCAACAGCUUUCCCUGCUGAGUCACAUCUGACAUACUGUACUCCACCCAGUAUUUUGUGUCACUCAGCUUGGCUUGAAUGCAGAUAUAGCAACCAGAUCUUUGUUCACUGAUGAUAAUGUCCCAAGGUAAUCAGCCUCUCUCUUUUAAUAAUUCCUCUAUAGGACUCUCAUGCACUUUUUGUGCUGGUGGGGAUUCACUUCGUCCACCUCAGUUUGACAACGUGUGGCAGUCAUUCUAUGCCAGCAGCCCCACUGCACAGCAGCUCUGGUGCUGACGUGAGGGACUGGUGCCUCUUGUUACCACACACUGGGGCAGUAGUUUGAAACUUCUGGUCCAGGGCGCCACCUGCUGGGCUACCUGCACCAUUUACAGUAGCAACCUGGUUUUCCUUGAAGAUCUCCUGUCCCGGGACUGACCUGGACCAUCCUUGUCCAGUUUUUAAGAUCUGACAAAACUAGGAUACAAGGUGCUGAUUUCAACAGAGACAAAUGUAACGACCAUACACGGACUCUAAACAAUGGAAAGUUGAAGGCCUGUGUACUCUGUAUGUUACAAUUACAUCGUCUGGCAUCCAACAACAAGGAUAGAGAUUUCUGGCACAUCACCCACCCAACAACAAAGACCCAAACCGAAGAGUCAUGAAAGGUUUACACAGAAAUAUCAAGCUUCAAUCACGUUUGAUAAGUUGCAAAUUGCAGCUAAUGCUGCAUUUGUUAUUUCAGCUGCGGGGAAUGACCAGGAGGAAGUCAAAAACAUCGCGCAGGCAUGAAACCGAAGAAAAAAAGUCUAAACAAAACAGAGUGAAACAGUGCAGCACACUGGACAAUAACAAAUCUCACUAUGAUUUGUUAUUUGGUCCUAUGGGGGACAGGAAGAAUGCAGUUCCCAAUCUGGAUAUAUUCUUCCAGGAACAUUACCAAUCAAGGAUCCGUUACCAACUGUUAAUGGAAUACUUGUUGCAUCUUUACUUUCUUCCACAAUGCCCUGACCACACUUGGACUCAAUCUUCGCCUGAGGGAAUGUACGCGUGCAGAUAUGUGUACAGUAUAUAGCCAUUGCCAUGACUUACAAAGUGUGUACCCAGAAUGCCAUUACUCACGCCAUCGAAAUGUGGGCAAUGUAAAAUGCACCAAGAGACACAAAAAAAAUCCAUGAAAAUUGAAAAAGAAGUCUCUUCUCGGUUGGCCUACUGAUUCAAAAAAGAAAAGAGUAAAAACACACUGAAACAUAUUAAAGUCCAAAACACCUUUUGGUUAACCUGAUGUUGCAUAAUUACAGUAUGUAGUUAUUAACAAUUGGACAUAUACUGUAUAUAGCCUUUUGAUCCUAUUUCUGUGAAUAACCAAAGGACUGCAAUUUAUCAGAAUUCACGUUUGACGGUAUAGGGUACCAAACUCAAAUAAAAAACAUUUUCAAGAAGUUCUUUGUCCCCUCUAAUGUAUCCAUCUAACGUUCAGUACAAUCAGUCUGACAAAUGGUCUAUCUACUGUUUACAUAUAUGUUUAAUUUAGAUAUACAGUAUAAUGUGUUUAAAAAGCCACAGCUAUUAAGCUCUAAACUAAUUUAUAUGUAAAUAUGCAAUAUGUACCCUGAGUGUAAUGAAAAUUCAGCUGUAGAGCCCCGGGAAAUGUCGAGUUUUCUUCAGAUCUAUUCAGCAUAUGUGUCAGAAGCAGGGAUGACCUUGCUAUUUGGAAUUUAACCUUUCUGCUAAACAUGCACUGUGUCCGUUGACCUGGGUUAUUAAAAUGUGACAGGCAUAAAGGGGCAUUCUGACAUCUGCGCUUACCCCGAAUCACCUUCGGGGAAAAUUCUUUGUCCUUGAGCGAUCUUUUCAAGUUCUGUCCUUGACUCACUGCAUGAAUAUUUCAUGAAACUAUGGACCAGAAAGCAUGGAAAACAGAAUGAUCACUUUUUUUAAAAAAAAUUUGGCCUGUAUUUGCAAAUAACUAGGAGAGUAUUAGCCGCUUUUUAUAACUUUGCCAAACAGUUUGCAAAUUCUGGCAAAGGACAGAAUAACUUUUUUAAAAGAGGCAAUCAAUUUUGGUGGUGUUGAUACAAACUGCCUUUAGCCUUCUAUUAAUUUAAACUGCCUGGUCUGAUACCAUAUUUUGUUGUUAUAUCUUGUGAGCUGCUCCAACAGCUCGUCUGAGCACUACAGUGUUUGUAAUACUUAAAUACUGUACUUCCAAUGAGAAAAAACCCCCAUAAACAAUUCUGAAUAACCUCAGGGCAGAAACAGUUCACAAACCAUCUGACCUUCUGCUAGUUGCUUUAAUACAGCAUGGGAGGACACGAGUGAAAUCAUAAAAUCUUAUUGUGAAGAAUAAGGUGGAUCUAAACGGAGGGAUUAAUGUGCCAGUAAAGUAUUAUAAUCAGCUAGAUGUCUGUUCACGUAUUUUUCACUCACGAGUGUGUGUGUGUGUGUGUGUGUUUUGGGUAAAUUGCUAAUUGUAAAACAUUUUUAUAUUCUGUUUUCCCUUUCGGUUUUCAUGGUAAUAAUUUUUAAGUGCUUUCAUAAUACAUUUCAUGUUGUUGUUGUUGUUUUAAUUUCCUUUACCUCCCAAUACAGUCCUUAUUCUUCCUUUUUAUGUGGUUGCUGAAGGGGGGUCACUUGGCAGUGGUCUCUUCAGUUAAGUCUUCUUAUAACAUUUUCAAAUGAAUUACUGAGUGAAUUGUGAAUUAUUCUUAGUAUUUAAAUCAUUGUUCUUUUUUAAGGAUAAUCUUCUGUAUCUGCUUGGUUUCCGUUUUUUUUAACUUGUAGACCACUCUGAGAUGAUUGCUUUUGAAAUGCAUUAUAUACACAUGAAGUCAAAUUAAGUUCACUAGACUGCAUUUAUGUUUCAUUCCACCACUUAGAACAAAAAAAAAAUAUUUUUGCAACUGGUACGAUGUCCUUGAAUGUACUGCAACACACUGUACAACAAUCUUAAUGUGGAAAUCAACAGGCAGCAUAUUUCCGGUCAUGGUGGACAAGAAAACGCUACACGAAUACAAAUAAUAUUAACGACAGAUCUUUUAAAUAGAUCACCAGAACCUAGACACUUAUUUUGUAUAUAUUGAUGAAUUGUUUCCAUUUCAUUUUGUUUCAUUUUCACUAAUUGGCAACUUACUCUGUGUUUACAUGAAUACAUUUGCCGGUCAUUUCUGACUGAGAAUGAGAAAAAAAAGUGUUUCCCUCCAAGCAAUACGCGACAUGAUAAAACGACGUGCAUUACAAUGUAGCAAAAUAAUAAUGUACAUAGGACAUACCAGGAGCACAGUGACUGAGCAGCCAGUGAAGGCUUCAUGGUGUCUUCGGCAUAUUCACCUGACCUCUCUCUAGCUGCUGCUCUGCUCUUGGCUGAAGCCCAAAUGUCUCGUUAUGAGACGUCGCUAAUAAUCUCUUACCUGUAAUGCACAUUAAAAAACCGUUGCUUCAGUGUUACAGUGCUGUUGUGCAGUAUUUCUGAACCAGCUGUGCGAUGGGUUUUUUGUUUUAGAUUUUUAGCCUCAUUACAGCGUUACCCAUUUUGCGAACUCCGCUGUGAAGAUGAGUGGCUUCUGGUGUGUUUAUCUCUGGAGACAUUUCCUUCAAUCGAAGAAACAGAUGGACUUGCA